UACGUAGGGGGCAAGCGUUGUCCGGAUUUAUUGGGCGUAAAGAGCGUGUAGGCGGCCAAGCAGGUCCGCUGUGAAAACUCGAGGCUCAACCUCGAGACGUCGGUGGAAACCGUUUGGCUAGAGUCCGGAAGAGGAGAGUGGAAUUCCUGGUGUAGCGGUGAAAUGCGUAGAUAUCAGGAGGAACACCGGUGGUGUAGACGGCUCUCGUCGGACCGUAACUGACGCUGAGACAACGAAGCGUGGGUAGCAAACAGG
rnacentral:rRNA from 1 species